UACGUAUGGGGCAAGCGUUGUUCGGAAUUAUUGGGCGUAAAGGGCUCGCAGGUGGUUUGUUAAGUUGGUGGUUUAAUCUUCGGGCUCAACCCGAAGUCAGCCAUCAAAACUGGCGAACUUGAGUAUGAGAGGGGAUAGCGGAAUUCUCGGUGUAGCGGUGGAAUGCGUAGAUAUCGAGAGGAACACCAAUGGCGAAGGCAGCUAUCUGGCUCGUAACUGACACUCAUGAGCGAAAGUGCGGGGAGCAAACAGG
rnacentral:rRNA from 1 species